CCUACGGGUCGCAGCAGUGGGGAAUAUUGCACAAUGGGCGAAAGCCUGAUGCAGCAACGCCGCGUGAGGGACGACGGCCUUCGGGUUGUAAACCUCUUUUAGCAGGGAAGAAGCGAAAGUGACGGUACCUGCAGAAAAAGCGCCGGCUAACUACGUGCCAGCAGCCUCGGUAAUACGUAGGGCGCAAGCGUUAUCCGGAAUUAUUGGGCGUAAAGAGCUCGUAGGCGGUUUGUCGCGUCUGCUGUGAAAUCCCGAGGCCCAACCUCGGGCCUGCAGUGGGUACGGGCAGACUAGAGUGCGGUAGGGGAGAUUGGAAUUCCUGGUGUAGCGGUGGAAUGCGCAGAUAUCAGGAGGAACACCGAUGGCGAAGGCAGAUCUCUGGGCCGUAACUGACGCUGAGGAGCGAAAGGGUGGGGAGCAAACAGGAUUAGAUACCCCGGUAGUC
rnacentral:rRNA from 1 species